rnacentral:rRNA from 1 species
GAGACAGCAGCAGCCACGGUAAUACAGAGGGUGCGAGCGUUAAUCGGAUUUACUGGGCGUAAAGCGUGCGUAGGCGGCUUUUUAAGUCGGAUGUGAAAUCCCUGAGCUUAACUUAGGAAUUGCAUUCGAUACUGGGAAGCUAGAGUAUGGGAGAGGAUGGUAGAAUUCCAGGUGUAGCGGUGAAAUGCGUAGAGAUCUGGAGGAAUACCGAUGGCGAAGGCAGCCAUCUGGCCUAAUACUGACGCUGAGGUACGAAAGCAUGGGGAGCAAACAGGAUUAGAUACCCCCGUAGUCCCUGUCUCUUAUAC